CCAAGAGAAAAUAUUGUUUGAACUAAGCAUUGAUCAGUAGUUUUCCCUUUUAAACCCUGGCUUCUAUUCCCAAAAGGGCAAAACCCUUGGGACUCUGUUGUAGUAGCUCUUAUCCUAGUUGUCUCACCAGAGUAGUAGAGCGAGAGACGGAGAUGGCUUGGCGCAGCGGAUCAUUUUCGAGGUCUUUGAUCUCCGCCGCAAGAGCUCCUUCGUUUCGGCCUCCACGGACGGUUCCCCGCUUUAGCGCGCCACCACUUGCUGCUCCUCGCCUGCAACCCCGCCGUUUUGCUUUCGCUAAUCCAAGGAUGAUGGGGGAGCUAGGGUGCACACAAUCGCUCCUUCCCCUGCAUAGCGUAGUGGCUGCCGCUCGCCUGACGUCACACCUCGCUGUCGACGCGCGUGCAUGUUGUGAGCUGUCUCAGGGUACCUUCUGUCGUACUUGUCAGGAUCGCUAGUAGUCUCUUUGGAAAAAUGGAAAAGAUGGGUGAUACGCGAGGCCGUCAAUGAUCCAAAGGCAGGAGAGUGAUGUUACACUGUACUUGAGUGAGCUGUUGGACAAGCACCGUGAAUGCAGCCGAUGAGUGCAAGUGGCAAUAGACUGGUAGAUGAUGUUAAAGCUUCUUUAUUUUGAUUAGGAGAAAUAAGAGAUUCUCCUUGUUCUCUUUUUUAGAAGAAACGUGGUAAUUGUGCAAUUUUGAGCAUGAUUAUUUAUCAGGGAGUCACUUUAUAUAUUUAGGUUUCCUUCUCAAGGUUAAGGUGUAGUCCUAUAAUUUUGAAAUGAUCUUAUUUUUAACUGAAUUGUUCUUAUAUCAUAUUUCUUUAACUUACGUUUCCUA